AGGUGUGAUCCGUCAUACACGAAACUUUUUUUCAUAUUAUUAGUACGUGGUUGUGGUAAAGAAAGACUACUUGUAGUUUGUCACCUCACCCUUAUAUGUGAAGAGAUUACUGAGUGAUUUGGGUCCCAUUUUAUUCAAUAAUUUGUACAUGAUUUUUGCUUUACUUUUCUUCCUUUCUGUUUUAAGUGGCUUCCAACCCAAUGCUUGCAAUGCAACAGAGGGACCUAUGUCUUUGCUCAUAUUC